rnacentral:sRNA from 1 species
GUAUUUUAGAGUCAAAUAUGACUUGAUGUCAUGUGUAUGAUUGAGUAUACGAACUAGAACCUUAACUGGAUC